rnacentral:tRNA from 1 species
GGGAGUUUGGCCGAGUGGUUUAAGGCGUCAGAUUAAGGU